rfam:Ictidomys tridecemlineatus contig098224, whole genome shotgun sequence.
UGGGUUGUAGCUCAGUGGCAGAGCACUUGCCAAGCAAGUGUGAGGCUCUGGGUUCAAUCCUCAGCACCACAU